UACGUAGGGAGCGAGCGUUGUCCGGAUUUAUUGGGCGUAAAGAGCGCGUAGGCGGCUCGGUAAGCCGGAUGUGAAACCUCCAAGCUCAACUUGGAGCGGCCAUUCGGAACUGCUGUGGCUAGAGUCUGGUAGGGGAACACGGAAUUCCUGGUGUAGCGGUGAAAUGCUUAGAUAUCAGGAGGAACGACCAGUGGCGAAGGCGGUGUUCUGGGCCAGUACUGACGCUGAGGCGCGAAAGCGUGGGGAGC
rnacentral:rRNA from 1 species